rnacentral:rRNA from 1 species
GAUGAACGCUGGCGGCGUGCCUAAUACAUGCAAGUCGAGCGAACAGAUAAGGAGCUUGCUCCUUUGACGUUAGCGGCGGACGGGUGAGUAACACGUGGGUAACCUACCUAUAAGACUGGAAUAACUCCGGGAAACCGGGGCUAAUGCAGGAUAACAUGUUGAACCGCAUGGUUCUACAGUGAAAGGCGGCUUUGCUGUCACUUAUAGAUGGACCCGCGCCGUAUUAGCUAGUUGGUGAGGUAACGGCUCACCAAGGCAACGAUACGUAGCCGACCUGAGAGGGUGAUCGGCCACACUGGAACUGAGACACGGUCCAGACCCCUACGGGAGGCAGCAGUAGGGAAUCUUCCGCAAUGGGCGAAAGCCUGACGGAGCAACGCCGCGUGAGUGAUGAAGGUCUUCGGAUCGUAAAACUCUGUUAUUAGGGAAGAACAAAUGCGUAAGUAACUGUGCGCGUCUUGACGGUACCUAAUCAGAAAGCCACGGCUAACUACGU